UACAGAGGUCCCAAGCGUUGUUCGGAUUCACUGGGCGUAAAGGGUGCGUAGGUGGCCAGGUAAGUCUGAUGUGAAAUCUCGGAGCUCAACUCCGAAACUGCAUUGGAUACUAUCUGGCUGGAGGGUCGGAGGGGGGACUGGAAUUCUCGGUGUAGCAGUGAAAUGCGUAGAUAUCGAGAAGAACACUUAGGGCGUAGGCAAGACUCUGGACAAAUGCUGACGCUCAUGCACGAAGGCUAGGGUAGCGAACGGG
rnacentral:rRNA from 1 species